AAACACAAUCCAACCUCAAACAGCCACUUACGAGUUUUCAGAAACUUCUAGAUUUUUCUAGAAUAUUCCAUGGCGGAGGGUAAGAGAUCCACUGGCUCUGUCAGUUGGUUCAGUGCACAGAAAGGUUUCGGCUUCAUUGCUCCGGACGACGGCGGCGAGGAUCUAUUUGUUCACCAGACCUCCAUCCAAUCUGAUGGCUUUAGGACACUGUCCGAGGGCCAGCCCGUCGAGUUCGCCAUCGAUUUUGGAGAGGACGGCCGUACCAAGGCUGUCGAUGUCGUCGGUAUCUUUAGAUCUCGCCGUGCCCCGCGCGGCGCUCGCUACCAGGGUAGUGGGAGAGGAUUCUAUGGCGGGAGGAGGAGAGGAGGUGGUAGUGGUCGAGGCGAUGCUGGUUAUGGGAGAGGUGGCUGGGGUGGCGGGUCAGGCGGUGAUUCUGGAUACAAUACUGGUGGUGGAUAUGGCGGCGGCGGCGGCGGCGGCAGUGGAGCGUGUUAUAAUUGUGGGAGAUAUGGUCAUUUAGCGAGAGAUUGUUAUCAAACCGGUGGCGGCAGUAUAGGAAGUAGGAGAUACGACGGCGGCGGAUACUCCGGUGGAGGAGGAGGAGGGGCAUGUUACAAUUGCGGUGAGGAAGGUCAUUUUGCUAGAGAUUGCCCUAAUACUGAUCAAAACUGAAACAAUGUGGGUGUUUCUCUUAAUGAUGAUGCUCCGUUAAUUAAUUCUUUGUGGAUUGUUGCAUUUUCGAGGUUUGAUGAUUGUUUUUCAGGGGAUUGAAGUAGAAGAGGAAAUGGAGCAGAGCCGCUUCUGCAGCCAUUGCCGCUCUGUUUCUUCUUCAUUGGUUUUUUUUUUUUUUUUUUUUUU
rnacentral:misc_RNA from 1 species